AGAUACGUUGGUAUUUCUGCGCAAAGAGACCAAGUCGAAGUUGUCCAGCGUGCAAGUACACACCUGAAACUAAAAGAAAGAUUGGUCAUCAUGAAGAUCUUCAACACGGUAGGGAGAGUCCUCUUGAUUUUAUUCUGUGCGGCCGCCGUUCCGCUGCUGUGUGCGUGUGUGAGGCUGCUGUGCCUUGCUAAAUGUCUGUGUUUGAGUGUGUGAAACAUAGCAAUACCUACUGUAAAUGGCCCUCUCUUUUCUCUUUGUUGGUUUCCCUUCUGUUUUUCUUACCUUAAAAUAAGGCUGUGAAAUCUGAGUUGUGGAGCGAGUCAUAAAUAGGAGGGUUAGCCAGUCAGUGGUCUGUAUUACAUCUGGGCAGCUCUCCACCUGAAAGUGGUCAUGAGCAAGUUGUUGCGACUCUGGUCCCUUUUUUAUUGGUGUGGACGUGGAACUGCUGAGCAAGUAGGUAAUUGUUGGCUGUGGGUCAGAUUUUUGGCCUUGGUGGUAUUUGUAGUUAAUUGAAUGUUUGCAGAGAGUGAUAUGGCAUGUGUGAAUGAUUAGAAUUGUUUUACGCUCAGCAGUUAGCGGUCAGUGAGUGUGAAGAUGUUCUUUCUUAAUUUGUGUGCAGUAACAUUUGUUUUGUAGAUCCUGUCGACAAGGGUGAGUCCGAAACUUUUUUAUCUUCCUCUCCGGAUGGCUAUCCUGUCAGCCUCCGCCUGUCUCUGUCCUAAUUAUACAUUAGCAGUGUUUUGUUUCUCUAUAAUCUAGCAUGUAGCUUUUAGCAUCUAAUUUAAUGAUAUGGCUGAACAUGUGGUGUGUCAGUUGUUAACUAACUUUAAACUAAAUUAAUGUACCAAAAUAAAGUUUAACCAAUUGGGAAAGUUUUAAAAACAAAAGACUUGUGACAUUGCAACAUUAAACCAGUGCGAUCCAACUUCUUUGAGGGCUACAGAUGAAAAUGCAGACAGGUGCGUUCCAUUUUGCUUCUGGGGUGGAAGUGGGAUUUAACCCUUUUUUUCAGCAUUUUCUGGAGGAAGAGGAAUCUGCAAGAACUGUAAAUUGCGAUUAGUUGCGCGGUUAAAAUGUGACACACAAGGUAAGUGGCACUAGGUCUGUUCUUUCCCAGCCGCUGUGCUGGUCUUGCCCCCAACAUGGCCACUUGCCAUGACCUUUGUUCCAGCCGCUGUGCUGAUCUUUCGUUCUAUCCUGUCUUUUUUGCCUUUAAUAAAAACCUUGCGUCUAAAGGCUAGUUGUCGGUAAACGUUAAGUAUGAAUAUAAUGGCCACUGUUCAGUCUAAAAUAUGUAAAACUGGAAUGUUUUGUACCAGUGUGUACAACUAUUAGGAGAGUAGCAAUGGUAUUUCUUUUUCUUGGAUGUGUGUGUGUGUUUGGGGGGACCAGAUGUUGAACCAUGUUGUUUCUGAACUGAAGACAAGGUAGCUUAGUUUGAACUUUGAGGAUAUUUUGUUUUGGCUUCUGUGUUAAAAGGCUGACAUCCAGUAAUCGGUAGAGUGCUGUUGUGGCACUUCCUCUUGGCUCCAAUGCCAGCUGUCUCCUGUCCUGUAUUUCCAUGUGUGGCCUGUGUAGUACAGGGACAUUUUACCUUUAAUUUAGAGUCCACUGGCAGUUUUUAUAAUUGAAACUACAAUUUUGAACUCCAGCUUGCGGUCCUCUUCUACAAUCUUCGACGUUGCGAUCAUUUUGGAGCACUGCGGUCAUUUUCUACAAUUUUCGACAUUGCGAGCAUUUUCGGUUGGUGCGGUAAUAUUCUACAAUUUUGAAUGUCCUAGUCCCUUUGGACGUUGCGGUUGCUGUCCUUUUCCGGCUGUCCGGUUGCUGUCCAGACUGACUACCUGAAUUCCAGCUACAUCUACGAAGACUGAUGUCCAGGACUUAUGUGGAUUUGCCUGCUUUGUACUUUAGGCAAUGUAUACAUGUAUAUUUUAUUGCCUUUGUACUUUUGUCUAUGUAUACAUGUACAUUUGCUUGUCUUUGUACCUUUUCUUAAUGUAUACCUGUAUAUUUGCUGGACUGUUAGACCUUUGUCAAUGUAUACAUGUACAUUUGCUUACCUUUGUACUUUUGUCAAUGUAUACAUGUACAUUUACUUGCCAUUGUACCUUUUCUCAAUGUAUACCUGUAUAUUUGCUUGACUGUUAGACUUAUGUCAAUGUAUACAUGUAAAUUUGCUUGAGUAUUAGACUUUUGUAAAUGUAUAUCAUGUGAUUACUGUCUGUGAGGUGAGUCUGUAUACACUUGUUGACCACUGGAUGCAUGGAGCCCUUAAUGUGAUCAUUAUCUGCAUGUGACCUUUUGGGUGAGUUUAGGGCUAGGUGAGUUGCAGGACACCUGGGAGAUGGAAUUCACAUUGUGUUACUUUAAUUUACUGGUGUUUAAACUGGGCUAUUUGUACCAGAGUUUUCGACAAUCAAUAUAGGUUGGUGUUGUAGGGGGUGUGGGCUUCAACGAUGCUUUCCCUAUUGACUAAAUGUGGUAAGAUCAGUCAUCAAACAGGUAAGACUCCCUGGUAUUUUCACUGCCCCAGAUGAGUUGGCGCUGGGUCCAUACAAGUUCUGGAAUUGUAGUGUCCUGGCCUGUAGGGCUCAGGUGGCCCAGGUAAACAAACUCCUUAGGAGAAGAAUUCUCUCAGUCACAAGAUGUUGUCAGGUUUGUUCUUUACAUUGACCAUUGCUUAAUCUGUUCACUGUAAGCUGUGUAUCUAGGUAUCAGAGUUGACCAAGGGCUGAGAAGAGUGAUCUUGGUUCAAGGAAGAAAAGAUUGAGUUUUAUAGAUGUUGGACUGGACCUCGUUAAGCACAGCACAUGUACAGAUCUGAAAAGAAGACUUGCUAUGAAGAACACUAUUAAAUAGACAGGUUUGUCAUUCUGUGGUAUAUUUAUAAAUCUUUGUUUCUAACUCUUUACUUGUACCUAACAGACCUGUGACUACAGAACUUGGAGAAGCUACAUCCUGGUCAGGUCACGACUGCAUCCAAGAUGAUCCAGACCUGCUACCUUCCUACUGGGUGUCUGAGGGUUGUACAAAUUACUAUCUCUGUUGCAGGGCAGUUUGUCAUUUAGAAAAAUACUUUGACUCAUUAUUUUGACUUUUUUUAAAAUCUGCAUGUCACAUGUUUCACAGGUUAGGUGGUCUGAGUUAGUUAGGGUCACUAACAGAUGACUCCAGUUGUAAAUCUAUGACUGGUCACUAAUUUUCUGCCCCUUGACAAGAGCGUAGUUGAGGCUUAGGGUCUUUUUUUUUGUUUUCUGAGGAAAAAAAAUGUACAGGUAUAGUAUUAUUUGACUGAGGAUCAUGAAUAUGCUGCCAUUGGUGUUAACUGAGUAAAUUAACAUUAAGCUCAUUGAUAUUGUAAAUUCAGCAGCGGAAUUUUGUGCAAAACAGUGCGUUUUACUGGGUACAUGCAGGGCUAAGUGUGCAAAUGUGUAUAUAUAUGAUGGUGUAUUCUGGUAGGCAUACAGGUUAGAUUAGGCGAUUAGGUUCUUUAAUAGAAAAUAUACUUGGCAGAGAGACAACCCAAGACUUUGUAAAGUAAAUGAAGUAAAUAUUUACAAAUUAUUUUAAACUUCAUGUGACUUCAAUACUACAGCUGGAAAACAAGUUGUUGGAGUACUCGGUAAAGAUGAAGACCUUUAAUGUUCUACUCCCGAUUCAAUCAAAUGGUUCAGCUUCCCUGACUACAAGUUGUGAUCAAACAAUACUGCUAAUUGUAAAAUGGAAUGCUCCUAUGUGAAUACCUGAAUCUGGGUAAUGAGUUUGGGUUCUUACUAUAAAACAAAGUCAACUCAUAAAAUGGUCAGGUGUUUGUUAUUCCUCUGUUUAAGGAAAUCAAGCCUUUAAUCCCCAUUUGCACACCAUGGACACAGUUUCCAAAACCAGACAUUGAUCCCUCUGGUUUUGUGACUCUGCCCAUCCAUGGAGUGCUGAGCCUUCCAAUAUGUGACCAGUAAAUGUUUUUAUAAAGUUGAUUUACUUAUAGAAUAAAGGAAGCUGUAAUCAUUUGUUUGGACAAAGAUUUAACAUUUUAGAAUCUGCAUUUAAAAUUGGUUGUGUAAGGGACAUUUGGUUCCCUGUAGUUGAAGUAGAGGUGUGUGUGGUAGGCCUCAUGCUGACAGGAAGAUGUCAAAGGAUAUGAUCAAGAGUUUUAAGGCUUUAGGAAUAAUUGGCACGACACCUGGGCGAUGGCAUUUACUUUAAUUUAAUUUACUGGUGUUUAAUCUUGGUUAAUGGUGUGAAAGUGUUCCACGAUCAGUAUAGGUGGGUGGUGAAGGCUGUCCUGAUUGACUGAAUGUGGUAAGAUCAGUCAAUUAAACAGGUAAAAAUCCUUGGUGUUUCCUGCCCCAAAUGUGGGUCACUGCUGGAUCCAUACAAGUGCUGGAAAUCUGGUUCUAGUGUUCCGGUUGUCCAGAUGAACCAACUCCUUUAUGACAGGAUCUUCUCAGCCACACUGUCUUCAGGAGUCUAUGAACCAGAGUUGACAAAGUAUGGAGAAGAUGGAUCCUGCUUAACAGGACCUGAGAUGUUUAACCAAGUAGUCUGCAGGGUCCAUUAAAACAGGCCAAAGUUUAAACCACGAUCUGAAUGGACCCCAGAGAGCUGAAAUCAGCUACAUACGUUCUGGACCUUGUCAAGCAUUACGUGUACAGGACAAUGUGAAAAGCAGAAGCAGACUGUCUGAAAGAGCAACAUUAAAUAGACAGACCUGCAACUACGGAACCUGGAGAAGCUACAUCCUGCUCAAGUCUGCUUCCUUCCUACUGGGUGUUUUAAGGUUGCAAUAUAUUAUGAUCUCUGUUAUGGACGGUUUGUUGUCAUAUAGAAAACUUACUUGAUUUAUGACUUAGGUUCUGGCCUCCAAGAAAAGAUUAUUUUAUUUUAUUUUUUUGUCCACUUUCAAUAAAUGUUUUACAUUUACAAAUCAACAUGACAUUUUGUGAAUAUGGUCUCUGGUCACUGAUGACUUAAACUACACGCUUGAUCCCAGAUUCAUAUUUGAUUUGCUUUGGUUCACACUCAGUCAGAAUUUAAGAGCUGGAUUUCCUUCGCACUGCUUCACUUCAGUACACUACACUUCUAUCCUAACUCUAACCCUUCUUCUUGGUUCCUCUUAGUAAGAAAUUCAGUCAUGAAUUCUUACUGUGGUCUACCAUGGACACAGUUUCCAAAAUCAGACUUGGAUCCAUCUGCUUUUGUGACCUGUUCCAUCCAUGGUGCCACACCAUCCUCCAUAAAUGCCAGCAACCAGUCAAUUUGAAGUAUAGAAUAGAAUAAAUAAAGAUUUGGUUUAUGAUCAAGCAUUUGUAGUUACUUCAUCAGUGUAUUUUUGGCCAUAUCUAGGAUUAUACAUGAGAACUCAUGGUGAUUCAGUUAAUGGUUGCUUGUUUUAGUUUGAGGUGGUCCAUGGUAAUCCUGUUAUUUUUUAUUUUUUAUUUGUUUCUUGGCUUAUUUUUUCUCUUACUCACUACUCUGUAAUUUAAGUAAUUCAAAAACAAAUGUUAACAUGUGUUUCAUGAUGCUAAAUACUUACGCUGACCUCUGUGUUGGUCAUAUCAGGCUUUGUGGAUGUAAAAUGUUGAUCUAAGCCCUGUGCAGUUAAGAUAACAGAACCUUAAACCAAACCUCCUAUUGUAACCUUCUCAAAUUGUAGCCAGAAGGCUAAAUUACAUUGGUAGUCCCCCUGCUAACUCCUCUGAUAACUUGACUAGGUUUGUUAUAAAGAAAAAGAAUUGUCCUUCCUGCAUUUUAUUGCAUGCUGUAAUUUUAGAUGUUUAAUUUAAAAUAAAAGCUUUACUCUAAUAAGAAAUUUCU